GAAGCAGUCGCUGAAGAGCUCUGGAUAGACCAUGCAAGGUUCUGCAGGUGUCCCACCCUUCUCUCAUCACGAGGAUGCUUUAGAAGUGUACCAUGAAGAGAGAAAGAAACAAUGGGAGGGAGCAGGGGGUGGAAGAAGACAUGCGACAAAGAUCCCAGGUCGGACUCCAAACCAGGAUGUUGUAGUUACAUGUGUUUGUUGGGGUCAAAGGUUGGUGAGUGGUGACCUAAGUGAGAGGCCUGGGUGACAUCUGACCUCUAACUGGGUGUGUGGCUGACCCUGGAGGAUACAGCACAACAAUGGGAGGCACGUGCCUUGGCCUUUUCACCAUGGUAACGCAGGACCUUUUGGAACGGGGGGGUCAAAGCUUGGUCUUUAUCCUGAUCAGUGU